GAAGGCAAUGGCAAGCUGUGACCAGGCCUGAAUGGAUCCAUUCUUCUCACCAACUGCUAACACUUAAGGCCUUCGCCACUGAGAUAACCAGCCCCUUACUGCGAAUAUAUUAUGAUAUAUAUAAUAUACUAUUAAGAAAACUUAACGGUGGAGCAGGACCGAAAGAGCUGAGCAGACCCGACCGAGAGAGGAGGAGGCGGCAAAGGGCGGUAGUUCUGCGCGUAGAGCGAAUGAGACUCCGUCGUAGGGAGGUGUUUGUUCUGAAGGGUCAUUUCCAC